CCUUAAUGGAGAGUUUGAUCCUGGCUCAGGACGAACGCUGGCGGCGUGCUUAACACAUGCAAGUCGAGCGGAAAGGCCCCUUCGGGGGUACUCGAGCGGCGAACGGGUGA
rnacentral:rRNA from 1 species